rnacentral:tRNA from 2 species
GCCGCUUUAGCUCAGUAGGUAGAGCGCAUCCAUGGUAAGGAUGAGGUCGCCGGUUCGAUUCCGGCAAGUGGCU